AACGAACGCUGGCGGCAUGCCUAACACAUGCAAGUCGAACGAUUGCCUUCGGGUGAUAGUGGCGCACGGGUGCGUAACGCGUGAGAAUCUGCCCUUAGGUUCGGAAUAACAGCUGGAAACGGCUGCUAAUACCGGAUGAUAUCGCGAGAUCAAAGAUUUAUCGCCUGAGGAUGAGCCCGCGUUGGAUUAGGUAGUUGGUGGGGUAAAGGCCUACCAAGCCGACGAUCCAUAGCUGGUCUGAGAGGAUGAUCAGCCACACUGGGACUGAGACACGGCCCAGACUCCUACGGGAGGCAGCAGUGGGGAAUAUUGGACAAUGGGCGCAAGCCUGAUCCAGCAAUGCCGCGUGAGUGAUGAAGGCCCUAGGGUUGUAAAGCUCUUUUACCCGGGAAGAUAAUGACUGCACCGGGAGAAUAAGCCCCGGCUAACUCCGUG
rnacentral:rRNA from 1 species